UUAAGUCAGUUGUGAAAGUUUGCGGCUCAACCGUAAAAUUGCAGUUGAUACUGGUUUCCUUGAGUGCAGUUGAGGCAGGCGGAAUUCGUGGCGUAGCGGUGAAAUGCUUAGAUAUCACGAAGAACCCCGAUUGCGAAGGCAGCUUGCUAAACUGUAACUGACGUUCAUGCUCGAAAGUGUGGGUAUCAAACAGGAUUAGAUACCCUGGUAGUCCACACGGUAAACGAUGGAUACUCGCUGUUGGCGAUAUACUGUCAGCGGCCAAGCGAAAGCAUUAAGUAUCCCACCUGGGGAGUACGCCGGCAACGGUGAAACACAAAGGAAUUGACGGGGGCCCGCACAAGCGGAGGAACAUGUGGUUUAAUUCGAUGAUACGCGAGGAACCUUACCCGGGCUUAAAUUGCAGACGAAUUACCUGGAAACAGGUAAGCCGCAAGGCGUCUGUGAAGGUGCUGCAUGGUUGUCGUCAGCUCGUGCCGUGAGGUGUCGGCUUAAGUGCCAUAACGAGCGCAACCCUCGUGGUCAGUUACUAACAGGUUAAGCUGAGGACUCUGGCCAGACUGCCAUCGUAAGAUGUGAGGAAGGUGGGGAUGACGUCAAAUCAGCACGGCCCUUACGUCCGGGGCUACACACGUGUUACAAUGGGAGGUACAGAAGGCUGCUACCCGGCGACGGGAUGCCAAUCCCCAAAACCUCUCUCAGUUCGGACUGGAGUCUGCAACCCGACUCCACGAAGC
rnacentral:rRNA from 1 species